AAUCUUGCGCAAUGGGCGAAAGCCUGACGCAGCGACGCCGCGUGCGGGAUGAAGGCCUUCGGGUUGUAAACCGCUUUCAGCAGGGACGAAAUUGACGGUACCUGCAGAAGAAGGCCCGGCCAACUACGUGCCAGCAGCCGCGGUAAUACGUAGGGGCCUAGCGUUGUCCGGAUUUAUUGGGCGUAAAGAGCUCGUAGGCGGUUCGGUAAGUCAGGUGUGAAAUCUCCACGCUCAACGUGGAGCGGUCAUCUGAUACUGCCGUGACUCGAGUCCGGUAGGGGAGUGUGGAAUUCCCGGUGUAGCGGUGAAAUGCGCAGAUAUCGGGAGGAACACCAGUGGCGAAGGCGGCACUCUGGGCCGGUACUGACGCUGAGGAGCGAAAGCGUGGGGAGCGAACAG
rnacentral:rRNA from 1 species